rnacentral:rRNA from 1 species
UGGGGAAUAUUGGACAAUGGGCGCAAGCCUGAUCCAGCAAUGCCGCGUGAGUGAUGAAGGCCCUAGGGUUGUAAAGCUCUUUUACCCGGGAUGAUAAUGACAGUACCGGGAGAAUAAGCUCCGGCUAACUCCGUGCCAGCAGCCGCGGUAAUACGGAGGGAGCUAGCGUUGUUCGGAAUUACUGGGCGUAAAGCGCGCGUAGGCGGUCCAUCAAGUCAGAGGUGAAAGCCCGGGGCUCAACCCCGGAACUGCCUUUGAAACUGGCGGACUGGAAUCUUGGAGAGGCGAGUGGAAUUCCGAGUGUAGAGGUGAAAUUCGUAGAUAUUCGGAAGAACACCAGUGGCGAAGGCGACUCGCUGGACAAGUAUUGACGCUGAGGUGCGAAAGCGUGGGGAGCAAACAGGAUUAGAUACCCCCGUAGUCC